ACUGCUCAGUAACACGUGGACAACCUGCCCUUAGGUUGGGUAUAAACCCGGGAAACUGGGUAUAAUACCCGAUAGGUCUCGAUUGCUGGAAUGCAUCGAGAUUUAAAGCUCCGGCGCCUAAGGAUGGGUCUGCGGCCUAUCAGGUAGUAGUGGGUGUAGCGUACCUACUAGCCUACGACGGGUACGGGUUGUGAGAGCAAGAGCCCGGAGAUGGAUUCUGAGUCACGAAUCCAGGCCCUACGGGGUGCAGCAGGCGCGAAAACUUUACAAUGCUGGCAACAGCGAUAAGGGAACCUCGAGUGCCAGGUUACAAAUCUGGCUGUCGAGAUGCCUAAAAAGCAUUUCAUAGCAAGGGCCGGGCAAGACCGGUGCCAGCCGCCGCGGUAACACCGGCGGCUCGAGUGGUAACCGUUAUUAUUGGGUCUAAAGGGUCUGUAGCCGGCCGGAUAAGUCUCUUGGGAAAUCUGGCAGCUUAACUGUCAGGCUUUCAGGAGAUACUGUCUGGCUCGAGGCCGGGAGAGGUGAGAGGUACUUCAGGGGUAGGGGUGAAAUCUUGUAAUCCUUGAAGGACCACCAGUGGCGAAGGCGUCUCACCAGAACGGACCUGACGGCAAGGGACGAAAGCUAGGGGCACGAACCGGAUUAGAUACCCGGGUAGUCCUAGCCGUAAACGAUACUCGCUAGGUGUCGGCCACGGUGCGACCGUUGUCGGUGCCGUAGGGAAGCCGUGAAGCGAGCCACCUGGGAAGUACGGCCGCAAGGCUGAAACUUAAAGGAAUUGGCGGGGGAGCAC
rnacentral:rRNA from 1 species